rnacentral:rRNA from 1 species
CCUACGGGAGGCAGCAGUGAGGAAUAUUGGUCAAUGGACGCAAGUCUGAACCAGCCAUGCCGCGUGCAGGAAGACGGCUCUAUGAGUUGUAAACUGCUUUUGUACGAGGGUAAACGCAGAUACGCGUAUCUGUCUGAAAGUAUCGUACGAAUAAGGAUCGGCUAACUCCGUGCCAGCAGCCGCGGUAAUACGGAGGAUUCAAGCGUUAUCCGGAUUUAUUGGGUUUAACGGGUGCGUAGGCGGUCGGAUAAGGUAGAGGUGAAAUCCCGAGGCUCAACUUCGGAAUUGCCUCUGAUACUGGUAGGCUAGAGAGUAGUAGCGGUAGGUGGAAUGUAUGGUGUAGCGGUGAAAUGCUUAGAGAUCAUACAGAACACCGAUUGCGAAGGCAGCUUACCAAGCUACGUCUGACGUUGAGGCACGAAAGCGUGGGGAGCAAACAGGAUUAGAUACCCUGGUAGUC